UACAGAGGUGGCAAGCGUUGUUCGGAAUUACUGGGCGUAAAGGGCGCGUAGGCGGCCUUGUAAGUCCUGUGUGAAAUCCCCCGGCUCAACUGGGGAACUGCACAGGAGACUGCUUGGCUUGAGUUCGGGAGAGGGAAGCGGAAUUCCGGUGUAGCGGUGAAAUGCGUAGAUAUCAGGAGGAACACCCGUGGCGAAAGCGGCUCUCUGGGACGGUACUGACGCUGAGGAGCGAAAGCGUGGGAGCAAACAGG
rnacentral:rRNA from 1 species